rnacentral:lncRNA from 1 species
CAAAACCUUGAACCCAUGCCUAAAAUCCUGUGAAAAUAAUAAACCAAUCAUUCAUUCAUACAUUCAUUCAUCAUCAAAAUAAUAAGCAAAGCUCUUAAAAUUUCCGUUUGUUCGAACGCAGAAUUACAAGACUAUUUUCCGACACAAUCAUGGAUACUUCAACAAGGAAAAGCACCUCUACUUUCCGCUUCAAGAGUCCCGACAUCAGCUCAUUAAAGGUCCUCUG